AGAUUGAACGCUGGCGGCAUGCUUUACACACGCAAGUCGAACGGCAGCGCGGGGCAACCUGGCGGCGAGUGGCGAACGGGUGAGUAAUAUAUCGGAACGUACCCAAGAGUGGGGGAUAACGUAGCGAAAGUUACGCUAAUACCGCAUACGAUCUAAGGAUGAAAGCAGGGGACCGCAAGGCCUUGUGCUCCUGGAGCGGCCGAUAUCUGAUUAGCUAGUUGGUAGGUAAAGGCCUACCAAGGCUACGAUCAGUAGCUGGUCUGAGAGGACGACCAGCCGCACUGGAACUGAGACACGGUCCAGACUCCUACGGGAGGCAGCAGUGGGAAUUUGGACAAUGGGCGCAAGCCUGAUCCAGCAAUGCCGCGUGAGUGAAGAAGGCCUUCGGUUGUAAAGCUCUUUGUCAGGAAGAAACGGUGGAGCUAAUAGUCUCUCACUAAUGACGUAC
rnacentral:rRNA from 1 species